CAGGGGAGCUGAAUCAGUAUGUGACCGUACAGUUCCACUCCCAAGCAUGACCCCUGACCUCUAGAAAGCUCACUCUUUCUGUGUGAUGGUCUGUGCGGAGAGAUUUAUUAGCACCAACACCCGAGCCAUUGUGUAACACCAUCAGCUAGGAAAGUCAACAACGUCCCAAGGCGCCCACGGGAAAACCUGCUUGCACAGCUGAUGGAUUAAGAGAAACAGAUCCUGAACUAAACCUCACCAAGCCAGGAUCCAGGACGCUCCUGACCAACACAGCAUCCUUCCACGGACAUUUACAGUUUUAAUACCGCGGGGACACAUCUACAUAUGGAAUCUUCCACCCU